GACGAACGCUGGCGGCGUGCUUAACACAUGCAAGUCGAACGAGGCCCUCCUUCGGGAGGUGUCCUAGUGGCGAACGGGUGAGUAACACGUGGGCAACCUGCCCCCGGCUCCGGGAUAACCCCAAGAAAUUGGGGCUAAUACCGGAUAUGACCGCUGACCGCAUGGUCGGUGGUGGAAAGGGUUUCCGGCUGGGGAUGGGCCCGCGGCCUAUCAGCUUGUUGGUGGGGUAGUGGCCUACCAAGGCGACGACGGGUAGCCGGCCUGAGAGGGUGCCCGGCCACACUGGGACUGAGACACGGCCCAGACUCCUACGGGAGGCAGCAGUGGGGAAUAUUGCGCAAUGGGCGAAAGCCUGACGCAGCGACGCCGCGUGAGGGAUGACGGCCUUCGGGUUGUAAACCUCUUUCAGCAGGGACGAAGCGCAAGUGACGGUACCUGCAGAAGAAGCACCGGCCAACUACGUGCCAGCAGCCGCCGUAAUAC
rnacentral:rRNA from 1 species